rnacentral:rRNA from 1 species
CUCAGAACGAACGCUGGCGGCAGGCCUAAUACAUGCAAGUCGAGCGCGCCCUUCGGGGUGAGCGGCGGACGGGUGAGUAACGCGUGGGAAUAUGCCCUUCUCUAAGGAAUAGCCUCUGGAAACGGAGAGUAAUACCUUAUACGCCCUUUGGGGGAAAGAUUUAUCGGAGAAGGAUUAGCCCGCGUUAGAUUAGGUAGUUGGUGGGGUAAUGGCCUACCAAGCCUACGAUCUAUAGCUGGUUUGAGAGGAUGAUCAGCCACACUGGGACUGAGACACGGCCCAGACUCCUACGGGAGGCAGCAGUAGGGAAUCUUAGACAAUGGGGGCAACCCUGAUCUAGCCAUGCCGCGUGUGUGAUGAAGGCCCUAGGGUCGUAAAGCACUUUCGCCAGAGAUGAUAAUGACAGUAUCUGGUAAAGAAACCCCGGCUAACUCCGUGCCAGCAGCCGCGGUAAUACGGAGGGGGUUAGCGUUGUUCGGAAUUACUGGGCGUAAAGCGCACGUAGGCGGAUUAGUAAGUUAGAGGUGAAAUCCCAGGGCUCAACCCUGGAACUGCCUUUAAUACUGCUAGUCUUGAGUUCGAGAGAGGUAAGUGGAAUUCCGAGUGUAGAGGUGAAAUUCGUAGAUAUUCGGAGGAACACCAGUGGCGAAGGCGGCUUACUGGCUCGAUACUGACGCUGAGGUGCGAAAGUGUGGGGAGCAAACAGGAUUAGAUACCCUGGUAGUCCACACCGUAAACGAUGAAUGCCAGACGUCAGCAAGUAUACUUGUUGGUGUCACACCUAACGGAUUAAGCAUCC